UGGUAAUUCUAGAGCUAAUACAUGCUGAAAACCUCGACUUCGGGAGAGGUGUAUUUAUUAGAUAAAAAACCAACGCCCUUCGGGGCUUCUUGGUGAUUCAUGAUAACUUUACGGAUCGCAUGGCCUUGCGCCGGCGACGGUUCAUUCAAAUUUCUGCCCUAUCAACUUUCGAUGGUAAGGUAUUGGCUUACCAUGGUUUCAACGGGUAACGGGGAAUUAGGGUUCGAUUCCGGAGAGGGAGCCUGAGAAACGGCUACCACAUCCAAGGAAGGCAGCAGGCGCGCAAAUUACCCAAUCCCGACACGGGGAGGUAGUGACAAUAAAUACUGAUACAGGGCUCUUUUGGGUCUUGUAAUUGGAAUGAGUACAAUUUAAACCUCUUAACGAGGAACAAUUGGAGGGCAAGUCUGGUGCCAGCAGCCGCGGUAAUUCCAGCUCCAAUAGCGUAUAUUAAAGUUGUUGCAGUUAAAAAGCUCGUAGUUGAACCUUGGGUCUGGCUGGCAGGUCCGCCUCACCGCGUGUACUUGUCCGGCCGGGCCUUCCUUCUGGAGAACCUCAUGCCCUUCACUGGCGUGUUGGGGACCAGACUUUUACUUUGAAAAAUAGAGUGUCAAGCAGCCUUUGCUCGAUACGUUA
rnacentral:rRNA from 1 species